rnacentral:rRNA from 1 species
GGUAUGAGAGUUCUCAUAUUAAUAUGGUACGUGAGUUGGGUUAAGAACGCCGCAAGGCUGUUCGUUCCCUAUCUAGAUAU